GUUAAUCCUAAUGGCGAAAUCAAGUUGGCUGAUUUUGGAAUGGCGAGACAUGUUGAUUCUUCUUCCUUGAUGUAUUCUUACAAGGGAACCCUAAGGUGGAUGGCACCAGAGGUGGUAAACAAUAAAAAUGGGUACACUAUUGCUGUGGACAUAUGGAGCUUGGGCUGCACAAUUCUAGAAAUGGCAACUGGAAAGCCUCCGUGGAGUCAAUAUAACAAGG